UCUGUGAAACAUAAAGAAGCUAAAAACAUGUGACUGUUAAUCACUAGGUUGGCGGUUCAAGUCCGUCUCGGGGAGCCA
rnacentral:tRNA from 1 species